GAUAUGCAGUCGAACGCGUUUGGCGCAAGCCAAACAGUGGCGGACGGCUGAGUAACACGUAGGAACUUACCCCUUUUUGGAGCAUAGCUCGUCGAAAGACGGGGUAAUACUCCAUAGUGUCCGACGUAAGUUGGACUAAAGAGGAUAACUUCUCGAAAAGGGAUAGUCCUGCGUCCUAUCAGAUAGUUGGUGAGGUAACGGCUCACCAAGUCUAUGACGGGUAGCUGGCCCGAGAGGGUGGUCAGCCAGAGGGGGACUGAGACACGGCCCCCACUCCUACGGGAGGCAGCAAUCAGGAAUAGUCGGCAAUGGGCGAAAGCCUGACCGCGCGACGCCGCGUGUAGGAAUAAGCUUUUAUUAAGUGUAAACUACUGUAGUAGAGGAAGAAAGGCCAGCUUAGCUGGCUAUGACGGUACUCUACGAGAAAGGGGCCGCUAACUGCGUGCCAGAAGCGUCGGUAAUACGUGGGCCCCGAACGUUAUCCGGUUUUAUUGGGCAUAAAGGGUCGUGUAGGCGUCUCGAUAAGUCUGGUCUUAAAUACUAUGGCUCAACCAUAGGAAAGGACUGGAUACUAUCGAGAUUGAAUUUUCUUUAGGGAGACUGGAACUUAGGGAGGAGUAGUGAAAUGCGUUGAUACCCUAGGGAACACCGGUGGCGAAGGCGAGUCUCUGGAAGAUAAUUGACGCUGAGACACGAAAGCUAGGGGAGCGAAGCAGAUUAGAGACCUGCGUAGUCCUAGCCCUAAACUAAUGCUUGCUAGCUGCAUGUUCCCGAUUUAUCGGGCACGUGUGGCGAAAGGUAACCCGUUAAGCAAGCCGCCUGGGGAGUACGGCCGCAAGGUUGAAACUCAAAGGAAUUGGCGGGGAGGCACACAACCAGUGGAACAUGUGGUUCAAUUCGAAACGAAACGAAAACCUCACCAAGGUUUGACAUGCUAGCGUCCUAUUUCUAGGAACUAGGAAAUUCGUAGAGGUUAGCA
rnacentral:rRNA from 1 species